rnacentral:rRNA from 1 species
UAUCUGCAGUCGAGCGAAUGGAUUAAGAGCUUGCUCUUAUGAAGUUAGCGGCGGACGGGUGAGUAACACGUGGGUAACCUGCCCAUAAGACUGGGAUAACUCCGGGAAACCGGGGCUAAUACCGGAUAACAUUUUGAACCGCAUGGUUCGAAAUUGAAAGGCGGCUUCGGCUGUCACUUAUGGAUGGACCCGCGUCGCAUUAGCUAGUUGGUGAGGUAACGGCUCACCAAGGCAACGAUGCGUAGCCGACCUGAGAGGGUGAUCGGCCACACUGGGACUGAGACACGGCCCAGACUCCUACGGGAGGCAGCAGUAGGGAAUCUUCCGCAAUGGACGAAAGUCUGACGGAGCAACGCCGCGUGAGUGAUGAAGGCUUUCGGGUCGUAAAACUCUGUUGUUAGGGAAGAACAAGUGCUAGUUGAAUAAUCUGGCCCUUGACGGCACCUAACCAAAAAGCCAGGGCAAAAUGCGGGGGGGGCCGCCGCGG